GCCAGUCCCCUAGAUCCACCACUGAUAUGAAUUUAUUUUGCAAUGACCAAGUUCUUGGUAACUAACUCACCAUUUGGUACCAAACCUGCCUCAACUAGUUGGUCAAGAGGAAGAGACCAGAUCAAAACAAUCCAAGAAUACUGUUAGUUUGUAACUUAUCAAUAAUUACUUUAUUUCUUACUGAUAAUUUAUAGAGACAGCAGCGUGUUCAGCAUGAAAGACUAAAGGGUGAAUUUAGAGAGUCUAUUUCACGGUACUACUCUGUACAAAAUAAAGUGGUUGAAAAGGAAAAGUUAUUAGUCGGUUCAACAAGUACAAGAACUUCACAGAGGCAAGACAGAUUCGGAGAUGACGGAUUUGGAAAUGAAAAAAGUAGCUUAAUGGAGGACGACCAAAGGAGGUUUGUACAUUACUUCUUGCACGUCAGCCUCUUACUGAUAGUGUUUUAUUCAACCGGUCAAGAAUAGGAAGAGGUGAAGAUCGUGGGAACAUGACUGGAACUCGUAUUGCUACCUAAAUAUCCACAAUACCGUUAACAGUUCAACUGUUUAUAGCUGAAAAUUAUACUGCUAAUUGCUAACUUGAACUACGGAAAAACUAAUUCACGGGCGUGAUGUGAGGAUUUAUUAUUACGGUCAAGCAGUGUUUCAGUGUUUUAGCGUUUGCUUAGAAUCUUAGGGUUAGCUUAGGGUUUAAGGCAGAGAAUAAGGUUAGGUUAGGGUUAGUUUUCGGAUUUAGAGUAAGCAAUCAAAUAUUGCAAGGAUCCCCCCUUCAGGCCCAUUUGUUAGCGUCACCUGCAUAG